GAUGAACGCUGGCGCCGUGCCUAAUACAUGCAAGUAGAACGCUGAAGCUUGGUGCUUGCACCGAGCGGAUGAGUUGCGAACGGGUGAGUAACGCGUAGUUAACCUGCCUCUUAGCGGGGGAUCACUAUUGGAAACGAUAGCUAAUACCGCAUAAAAGUCGAUAUCGCAUGUUAUUGAUUUUAAAGGUGCAUAUGCCUCACUAAGAGAUGGACCUGCGUUGUAUUAGCUAGUUGGUGAGGUAACGGCUCACCAAGGCGACGAUACAUAGCCGACCUGAGAGGGUGAUUGGCCACACUGGGACUGGGACACGGCCCAGACGCCUACGAGAGGCAGCAGUAGGGAAUCUUCGGCAAUGGGGGCAACCCUGACCGAGCAACGCCGCGUGAGUGAAGAAGGUUUUCGGAUCGUAAAGCUCGGUUGUAAGAGAAGAACGGGUGUGAGAGUGGAAAGUUCACACUGUGACGGUAACUUAACAGAAAGGGACGGCUAACUACGUG
rnacentral:rRNA from 1 species